CCUACGGGGGGCAGCAGUGGGGAAUCUUGCACAAUGGGCGAAAGCCUGAUGCAGCAACGCCGCGUGAGCGAAGAAGGCUUUUGGGUUGUAAAGCUCUGUCCUAAGGGAAGAAGGAAGUGAUGGUACCUUAGGAGGAAGCCUCGGCAAACUACGCGCCAGCAGCAGCGGUAAAACGUAGGGGGCAAGCGUUAUCCGGAAUUAUUGGGCGUAAGGAGUUCGUAGGCGGUUCGUUAAGCGUAGGGUCUAAGGCGAUGGCUUAACCAGCGUUCGCCCGGUGAACUGGAGGACUUGAGUAUCGGAGAGGAAAGCGGAAUUCGUAGUGUAGCGGUGAAAUGCGUAGAUAUUAGGAGGAACACCAGUGGCGAAGGCGGCUUACUGGACGAAAACUGACGCUGAGGUACGAAAGCGUGGGGAGCAAACAGGAUUAGAUACCCCUGUAGUC
rnacentral:rRNA from 1 species